UACGGAGGGUGCAAGCGUUAUCCGGAUUCACUGGGUUUAAAGGGUGCGUAGGUGGGCAGGUAAGUCAGUGGUGAAAUCUCCGGGCUUAACCCGGAAACUGCCAUUGAUACUAUCAGUCUUGAAUACCGUGGAGGUAAGCGGUAUAUGUCAUGUAGCGGUGAAAUGCUUAGAUAUGACAUAGAACACCAAUUGCGAAGGCAGCUUACUACACGAAUAUUGACACUGAGGCACGAAAGCGUGGGGAUCAAACAGG
rnacentral:rRNA from 1 species